GCACCGUUAGCUCAACUGGAUAGAGCGUUGGUCUACGGAACCAAAGGCUAGGGAUUCGAAUUCCUUACGGCGCACCA
rnacentral:tRNA from 1 species